UGAAUCCACCAUGCGCGGGUUCAAUUCCCGUCGUUCGCCCAU
rnacentral:tRNA from 1 species